GGGAAUGUGGCUUAGUGGUAGAGUGCUUGCUUGACAUGUAUGAAGCCCUGGGUUUGAUUCUGCAGUACCA
rnacentral:tRNA from 1 species